rnacentral:lncRNA from 10 species
AUGCGAGGGCAGGGUGAGCACCUGAGAGUGAGGGCCUCCUUAAAGUCUGUGGUCCAGGGUCCUUUGGUCCCCUAAUCCCAGAGCAGAAAAGAAAGCCUUCAAAUCCAGCUGCUGCCUGAAGAGCCUCAGACUCACUCCCCUGGGGCAGCAAAGUGCAUUUCUUUACCCACAAGGCCCUGUAGUGCUGACUGGAAGAUGGGGCUGUCAGGGACUCAUGGGAAAGAAUGGCACAUUGGAUACAAACUCAUUCGGCUUAGUUUUACCCUGUGGCUGCCCCUGUAGUGUCAUUUGUGACACCAGGAAUAUGUUCCAUACCAACCGAAUAGCUUCUCUUCCUAUUCGUGCCAGUGCAUGGAACUAUAUAAUCAUUCAUCUAUUCAUUAAUUCAUUUAUUUGUAGCCUUCCUCUUUAUAUAGGCUUAGAGAGCCACUACUCGAAGCCAAGCCUUACGUCAGGCAGCAGAGAUACCAAGAUGAGGUUGAAGAAAACACACGGCUUUCUCCACUCAUGGACUCCAAUGAGGAUGGCAACAACAUGGUAAUUAGAAGUCAUUAGCAGAUUGCUCUCAGCAAGUGGAAAGCAGUGAGAAUUCUGAAGCAAGACUUCUCUGGACUUCAGGGAAGUCCCUCUAAGGAAGUGACAUCUAAACUGGAACUCCACUGCCUCUAAAUGGAAAAGAGAUUCCCAUGGAUGCAGCAUUCAUAUUCUGGCCUCCAAAGAGAGUCACAUGAUAAGGAGGCCAGGACAGAAUAAUAAAAGGAGCCAGUCCCCUGCAGGUAUCAUGGACUGUUCAACCAGUUCUGGACUUUCACCUGAGAUUUAUUGUCAGGUGAAAAAAAUAGCCUCUAUUUUGUUAAGCUACUGCUGUUUUCUUUCUGUUAUUUGCAGCUAAACUCAGUCCUAACAGAUACAUAAAUCCUGUUCAUUUUUCCAAAGGGUCUUCAGAAAUACUGCCUUGGGUGUCUAACUAUUACUGACUGAAUUGUGCCCCUUUAGAAUUCAUAUGUUGAAGUCCUAACCCCUCAUAAGGGAAUGUGACCAUGUUUGGAGAUAGGGUCUUUAAAAAGGAAAUUACAUUGAAAUGAGCUCAUGAGGGUGGUUCCUAAUCCAGUGUGAUUGGUGUCCUUAUAAAAUGAGGAAAUUGGGACACAGACACAACCACAGAGGGAAAAUGAUAUAAAGAGACACAGGGAGAAGAUAGUCAUCUGUAAGCCAAGGAAAGAGGCCUGGAACAGAUCCUGACCUUACGGCCCUCAGAAGAAACCAACGCUGCCAACACCUUGAUCUCUGACUUCCAGCCUCCAGAAUCACAAGGAAGAUGUAAGAAAACUCUGAAAAAUGAAGAAAAGAAGGAAACUGGCUAGGGACUUCAGAACCUAAGGAACAACAUGAGGAACGUGCAGAUGGGACAGAGAAUCACUGGUGGAGACUGAUCCCAAAGUGGCCAGAGUGCAAGGUGCUUUAUGGCACUGCACCAGUUCCCUAUGAAACCAUACACAUCUCAUUGAGUAAGGAAGGAAGCUGCCUGUGACUGAGACUCUGAAAUGGACCAGGGAGGAAACUGAGUCUUGAAGAGAUUGUGUAACUUUGCAGUGAGUGCAAACCGUAGUAAUUACAAAGUGUGAAUUAAAAACCCAAAAUGCU